AGCGAACGCUGGCGGCAGGCCUAACACAUGCAAGUCGAACGAACUCUUCGGAGUUAGUGGCGGACGGGUGAGUAACACGUGGGAACGUGCCUUUAGGUUCGGAAUGACUCAGGGAAACUUGUGCUAAUACCGAAUGUGCCCUUCGGGGGAAAGAUUUAUCGCCUUUAGAGCGGCCCGCGUCUGACUAGCUAGUUGGUGAGGUAACGGCUCACCAAGGCGACGAUCAGUAGCUGGUCUGAGAGGAUGACCAGCCACACUGGGACUGAGACACGGCCCAGACUCCUACGGGAGGCAGCAGUGGGGAAUCUUGCGCAAUGGGCGAAUGCCUGACGCAGCCAUGCCGCGUGAAUGAUGAAGGUCUUAGGAUUGUAAAAUUCUUUCACCGGGGACGAUAAUGACGGUACCCGGAGAAGAAGCCCCGGCUAACUUCGUGCCAGCCGCCGCGGUAAAAC
rnacentral:rRNA from 1 species